AUUGAACGCUGGCGGCAUGCCUUACACAUGCAAGUCGAACGGCAGCACGGGAGCAAUCCUGGUGGCGAGUGGCGAACGGGUGAGUAAUAUAUCGGAACGUGCCCAGUCGUGGGGGAUAACGUAGCGAAAGCUACGCUAAUACCGCAUACGAUCUAUGAAUGAAAGCGGGGGAUCGCAAGACCUCGCGCGAUUGGAGCGGCAGAUAUCAGAUUAGGUAGUUGGUGAGGUAAAGGCUCACCAAGCCGACGAUCUGUAGCUGGUCUGAGAGGACGACCAGCCACACUGGGACUGAGACACGGCCCAGACUCCUACGGGAGGCAGCAGUGGGGAAUUUUGGACAAUGGGCGCAAGCCUGAUCCAGCAAUGCCGCGUGCAGGAUGAAGGCCUUCGGGUUGUAAACUGCUUUUGUACGGAGCGAAAAGGCUUCCACUAAUACUGGGGGCUCAUGACGGUACCGUAAGAAUAAGCACCGGCUAACUACGUGCCAGCCGCCGCGGUAACAC
rnacentral:rRNA from 1 species